rnacentral:rRNA from 1 species
UACGUAGGGUGCAAGCGUUGUCCGGAAUUAUUGGGCGUAAAGGGCUCGUAGGCGGUUUGUCGCGUCGGGAGUGAAAACCAGGUGCUUAACACCUGGCUUGCUUUCGAUACGGGCAGACUAGAGGUAUGCAGGGGGAGAACGGAAUUCCUGGUGUAGCGGUGAAAUGCGCAGAUAUCAGGAGGAAUACCGGUGGCGAAGGCGGUUCUCUGGGCAUGACCUGACGCUGAGGAGCGAAAGUGUGGGGAGCGAACAGG